UCCUCCUGAAUAACUGCAGCAAGACUUACAUUUUUUAUGCUUUGUAAGAUAUGAACAGGCUUUGAGCAAUUUGGUAGCACGAGAGGCCCAAAGAAGACACUUUUCUUGGAGAAGAUGAAAACACAAAAUACAGCUGCACUGCUCUCAGAUCCCAGGAGAGGCUCAAUCUUGCCAGAAGGCUUGGUUUGUUCGUUGGGCCAUUAGUUCUCUGUUCUUGGAGUGAUAAAGAUUCUAAGUUUCAUCUCAAGCACUCAUCAGAAGUGGAAAUGGACAGUGAUUCACAGAAACAAGAGCGUGUGCCAAAAAAUCAGAGCUGGUGGAUUUUGCUGACCUGGAAUGUUAGACUUUCUCCUCCUCCUCCUCCUCCUCCCCCUAUUCCAGCAGCUCCUUGCGAGAACCUAAUGUAUUUGACACAGCCUGAAGAUUCAAGUGCCUGAAAGACGUGGAGCGUGAAGGAAAUGGAAGGAGAAGAGAGAGAUGGAGCCAUAAAGCAUGGAAGAGAUUGAACAGCGAAUAGGAAAGUGAUACCACAGUUAGCAUGAGGUGUGGUUGUGAUCAUGAUUAUUGGGAUAAAUAUGUGGAAAGGCUGCACCAACUCCAGCUCAGAUUAGUCGAAGAAAUCUCCUAUACGGCAUAUGAGGGAUGGAUUCAGAUAACCAAGCCAGCAAAUAUGGUGGAAGAUGCCAGCCAACCCAACUGAAGGGUCCCAGGCUGAGAAAGGUGGACACAGACACACGGACACGCAGAAGAAGAAAAGAAGAGAAAGAGGAAGAGGAAGAGGAAGAAGAAGAAGAAGACAAUGUUUAGCUAGCCAGAACUGAUGAAGCUUUUUGACUGAGAAUCUCCACAGACACCCAGACAUGAUUCCUUAAAAUGCACUAUAGAUGGUCUUGUACAUCAACAGUGCACAAAAUAACACACAAUAUUUUAUCAGAGCUUUUUAAAAAUAAGAUUCUAUGCUAAAUUAGUAAGUUCCAUUGUUCAGUGGUGUAUACUUAUGCCAAAUCAAAGUGUAACAUUAACUUGCCCAUCAGAACCACUUUCAAUAAAUGUGUUAAA